rnacentral:rRNA from 1 species
AACGAACGCUGGCGGCAUGCCUAACACAUGCAAGUCGAACGAGACCUUCGGGUCUAGUGGCGCACGGGUGCGUAACGCGUGGGAAUCUGCCCUCAGGUACGGAAUAACUCAGGGAAACUUGAGCUAAUACCGUAUAAUGACUUCGGUCCAAAGAUUUAUCGCCUGAGGAUGAGCCCGCGUCGGAUUAGCUAGUUGGUGAGGUAAAAGCUCACCAAGGCGACGAUCCGUAGCUGGUCUGAGAGGAUGAUCAGCCACACUGGGACUGAGACACGGCCCAGACUCCUACGGGAGGCAGCAGUGGGGAAUAUUGGACAAUGGGCGAAAGCCUGAUCCAGCAAUGCCGCGUGAGUGAUGAAGGCCUUAGGGUUGUAAAGCUCUUUUACCCGGGAUGAUAAUGACAGUACCGGGAGAAUGAGCCCCGGCUAACUCCGUGCCAGCCGCCGCGGUAAGAC